UUCUUUCAUUUGAUCAUGUGUGUUGACAUCCUUUCAUAACAUAUAUAAAUUAAUCUAUCCCUUUUCUUAUUCCCCGACUUGGCAGUCCCGGCUGCCAAUCCAUGUCUCUCUCUCAGCCAAUCAUACAACACAACUUUAACGUUUCAAUUUUGUUGCGGCAGUUUCAUUCAUACUCAGGAAUAUAAUGGGUUCUUCACCUGAUCUCCAGGCCAUAUAUAUUUUGCUGCAGGAAGCAUGCCUAUGCAGAAGAAACAAUGAAAGCUAAUUUGAUCCACUUUUCUGCAAAUCUGUUGCUUGAGUCAGAGGCCUGAAGGAGACCUCACAGAUACAGAUUUUGAGACUCAUGGGCACGAUAAAUGUACAUUCAGUGGAUAAAUAGCCUAAACGAUAUGUUUACAUAACCUCAGAAGCCUAAAUGGUAGGUUGGAGUUUAUCACAGAGUUUCAUUGCAACACUGCAGCAACUGAAGCCUUAGUAGUUAGCUAUUGCUAAUGAGAUUAAAGGAAUUAUGGAUAGGUGAACAGCUCAGUGCAAGAUAUAUAAAGUUCAGGGAUUAACAGAAUUUCUUUUUAUUUAAAAGGGUCUUGGAAAGUGCAAUCAAACAUACAGAAGCAGAGAAAGUUAAUUGAAAAAAUCAAUCUCUACACUGGUCGAUGCUACUAUAAAUGAUUUUACAUUAUAAUCACGGUUCUCAAGCGACACCAACAUCCCAAAGGAUGAAGUUAAACAGAAAUACCCCAAAAACUACAGGCAGAAGAUGCAUAAAUGCGGAACAAAAUGAAUUUAUUACCACUUCCACCAUCAGAAGCAUCUGCUAGCCUUGAGAUUGCUUCAAUCAGGGCCUUCUCAUGUUCCUGUAUUGGUGUAUGACAGUGGAGAAGUUUGAAAUGCGCAACAAAAUGCAUAUCAAGAGAUUAGAAGGAAUUAUCGGUGAUACAACAAUGAUCUUACUUUCAGCAUUUUCUUUGCCUUAUCAAGCUCCAGAGGAUCUGGAUGAGUUGCUUCGAAAAUCUUCUCCACCUGUUGCUUAUAAUGACAAAUGUAAGAAAAUAACAUGGUAAAGGAUCAAUGAGAAUUGGCUGAAAUCAGCACAUACCUCCUGUACAAGUGUCUCUGUGUUAAGUAAUUCAAUAUCAUCAGAAUCGGUCUUUUCAA